AUGCACAUACCGAAUAAGAAGUGGUCAAGGCUUUUGUUCUUCACAAGUUCAUAAACAAGUAUCUUUUCUUCUCCUUCAGAGCAAAACCCCAGCAGCCUCACUAAGUUUCUGUGCUGAAGUUUGGCCACCAAAACAACCUCAUUCUUAAACUCCAUGACACCCUGCCCGGAGCUUUUAGAUAGCCUCUUCACAGCUAUCUCUUGCCCAUUAGGUAGUGUGCCCUGAAAAUUAAUGUAGUAGACUAGUAACCAAUAUCUCAAGCACUCUUUUAUAUAUGAGUUCAACAUACCCCAUUUUAAUAAGUUUUCUUUUCAAAUUCAUCAUGCAUGUUCAAGAAUUCAAAUCACAGUUACCUUGUAGACCUCUCCAAAGCCUCCUCCGCCUAACUUGUUAUUAACAGAGAACCGGUUUGUGGCUGCUUCUAUGGUAGCCAAGUCAAACUGCAAAGACUCUACGGUAGUAAUUUCAUGCAUGUUGCCAUUUUGCUCUUGUACAGCAUCAUACUUCUUCCUUGUCUUUCUUUUUAAGAAAAUACAGCCUACCAAGAAAAGAACUAUGGCAAUUGGAACAACAAUGGCCACUAUUGUUAAGGGUGAGAUUUGGUCAUUAUUUCCUGCAUAGAGUAAAUAUUAAGAUUAAUGCAACUAUAGAAAUGAGACAAAACAUGUUACAUAAGCUAUGGUCCUGCUGUAUAUUCAUUUUACCUUGAUCAGGUCUCGUUACUGAACCUGGGGGAGGGGGAGGAAGAAGCGGUGAUGGAGGCGAUGGCGCUGGUGGCUGUGUGGCGCAGCUUGAACUGUAUAAAACGGAGAGACAUCAUGUUGAAUAUCACAACUAGGAACUAGGACAUUUCCCGCUCGCUUUCCAUUACAACAAUCUGGAAGAAAUGAAAUAGAUCCUCGAAGACAACGAUUACAACUUUGGCUCGACAGGUCUGCUGUGCACUGCACAAGGGUGUACAACAUCUGAAAAUCUGUGAAGUUCACUUCUUCUGUUGCGAAUUUUUUCCUACCGGAAGGUGCAUCAGCAGCACGAUCCACCAAGCUGCUCAUAGUUUGUCCCAGCAGCUGCAUGAAGCGGUCAGGCUCGGUGAUAUUCCCAGUGUUCACCAUGUAAAUUAUUGGUGAUUCCUCCAAGUUUCCAAAGAAGGAUGUGUCUGAGUAGCGUACCAUGCAGAUGUCAUACCAUAUUAUUCCAUUUUUUCUCAAGGCGCAAUCCUUUGGGACUCCAUUUCUGGCUAUAGUAGACACACAUUCUUGACACUUUUCAGGUGUCACAUCGCCACGGCAACUAAAAGAUCCGUAGACAUCCGUGCCGGGGCCUUGGCCGCCGACUGUGGUGUUGUAGAAUCCGAGGUCAUUGGUUGCGUUGGAGGUGAGAUAGGAGAAGAGGAGAUUGAGAUUGGACUCGUAGGUGCUGUUGGGAGUGAAAUUUCCGGUGUUUGCGGGACAUAAAAUGGACCUGUAAGUAAUUUCAGCUUCGAUGCUGAGGCUAAGGCAACCAAGAACGGUGAACAACACAAACACAUGAGAAGAAGAAGAAGGCAUUAUGAUAAUCUGCUAUUCUGAAUCAUGAUGAUUACUCCCUCUUACCAUAUAUUAAAAAAAUUGUUGACAGGAGUGAAUACCAGGGAGGUUGAAAGUCGCGGAAGAAUAAUGAGUGCUGGAAAUUAGCAGAGAUGAUUGAGAAAAGUCUGAAUUUUCAUGUUCUUCGUUUUGCUUUUUUCUCAGUUGAGAAAAGUCUUUGAAUUUUCAUGUUCUUCGUAACUGAUUGAGAAAAGCGUGUAAAUGCUGAAUACGUACAUUGUAUAACUGAUUGAGUUAUACAUCGAAUUCUGAUACAUUGAUGUAUAACUCCAUCUGGAUAUGAAGACAGAUUCACAGAAAUGCAAGAUCAACUCCAGAAUAUUCAACGGAGACCUACAAAAGCUAUAAACCUUUUCCAAGAUAAAGAUGUGAAGACCAGAGCGUGUCAAUCACUUUUCGUGGGCAAAGCUAGGUCUUUCUUUGAUUUCCAAGUUCCAACUGUACAUAAGAGACCUUAUUUAUGAUCAAAAUUAAACAAGAUACUGAAACUCAGAAAAAAGAGAAAUUUCAUCUGAACUUUCCAAAACCUAACAACGGUCGUAUUCGUCAAGGAAUAAAUUCCAGUGACAUCCCCACAACAAACAUAGAUCGAUUGACAGAAAUGCAUGCAUGAUUUUCUUUUGAUCUGGAAAUGCAUGGCAUAAUGUACACCUUGUUUACUGAUUCUAAGGUUUUAACUUGCUGAUAGCGAGAUCAAUAAGACUCCAGCGCGAUCUUCGACAUGUUCAUAUACUGUUAUAAUUUGAAACAAAAUGGUUCGUCUUGAGGUAAAGACGCAGUGCAGCCGUGCAGAAUAGGUAGAUAAGCAAUUACAUUGCACUGUAGGCCUGCUAGAUGGAUGAGCAGCAAGUAAUCCAAUAUAUGGUUACAUUUUUGUUCUUUUUGUUUUUUUUAUUGAAUACAAGAUAGUUUCAUAAAUGUCCAAAGCUGGAAAUUUCAUACAUCAAAAGCGCAAACUUAAGCAUCAGAAAACUUAGACUCGAAGCCAACACUAUGAAGGUGUCAUCCCUUCUCAACAGUUUGUUGUGCUAGAUAUUACUCACAUUAUCGAGGGAAUAAUUCAGUAAUUGAAACUUCAUUAACAGAAUAUGAGACUGAGCUGCUAGUGGGUUUAUCUGAUGCUCCCGUGGCUACUGAUGGCAUGUUCAAAUCUCCUUUACUAUGCAGGAAAAACGCUGGCUUUUCAGGCAAUGGCAUACUGAUAGAGUAACUGCUUAGCAUGAGAACUAUGGUUUGCAUUGUAGGUCUCUCCUCUGGAUCUUCCUGAACACACAGUAAACCAAUAUGGAUACAUCUGGUUACUUCAUUUCUUGCAUAAGAACCUCUCAGACUUGAAUCCAACAAUUCUUCAGGCGUCCCAUCCCUCCAAUGUUUCCAAGCCUGCAAUUUUUUUGUAUGAGCCCUCAAGAUGUUGCAACCAUUCGAAUGUAAUAAUAAUCAUUAACAUAAUAUACUUAAAAAUGCAUGAAAUUAAUUAAAAUGUCUAAUUUAUAGUCUUGAACUCACAUAGGUCAAGAGAUCUUCACCACGGUCUGAUUGAUAGAAACUAGUGUUUUUCUUGCCUGUUACAAUCUCUAAGAUUAAGACACCAAGACUAUACACAUCAGACUUCACUGAGAACUGUCCAUGCAUUGCAUACUCUGGAGACAUAUAACCACUUUAAACCAACAGCAUCCAUAAAAAAAUGUUAGUACAAAUAUGGUGUGAGAAUAUUGGUAUCACUUGCAUAUACAGAAAUACACAAAGUUCUGCACUUACUAAGUUCCGACAAUCAUUCUAGUGCAUCCUUGAGUUUGAUCAACUCCAAAUAUUCUUGCCAUCCCAAAAUCUGAUACUUUUGGGUUCAUUUCUCCAUCUAACAAUAUGUUGCUUGCUUUGAGAUCGCGAUGUAUGAUUUUAAGCCGAGAAUCUUGAUGGAGAUAGAGAAUCCCUCUAGCAAUCCCGCCUAUAAUCUUGUAUCUGGUUGACCAAUCCAACUUCACUUGAAUGUCUGAGUCUGCUUCCAUGUUUGUCAGAAGAAAGUAUACAGUUAGAAUAAGUAAAUCAAUUCGCUUAAAGAACAGCUAUUCAAUUUCCCUAUGAAGAUUAACAUCUUACAAGGCACAUACCGAAUAAAAAGUGGUCAAGGCUUUUGUUCUGCACAAAUUCAUAGAUAAGUAUCUUUUCUUCUCCUUCAGAGCAAAAUCCCAGUAGCCUCACUAAAUUUCUGUGCUGAAGUUUGGCCACCAAAACUACCUCAUUCUUAAACUCCUUGACACCUUGCCCGGAGCUUCUAGAUAACCUCUUCACUGCUACUUCUUGUCCAUUAGGAAGUGUUCCCUGAAAAUUAAGAUAGAAACAAGCAAGUAUCUAAUCGCUUAACCGUCUUGAACUCUCUCAUACAUAUUCUAUAUGCAGCAUAUUUACGGAUCAAACGUCAUAAUUACCUUGUAAACCUCUCCAAAGCCACCUUCCCCUAAUCUGUUACUAACAGAGAACUGGUUUGUGGCUGCUUCAAUUGUAGCAAAAUCAAACUGCAAUGACUCCACAGUAGUAAUUUCACUAAUUUCACUGCCCCCUACAGCAUCAACAAAUAGCCAAUUAAUAAUAGGCACAUAUGCUUUAAGACUUGAACUGUACAAGAGCAAAGAAAAAACAUGCAUGUUACCAUUUUGUCCUUGCAAAGCAUCAUACUCUUUUCUUGUCUUUCUUCUUAGCAAAAAGCAGCCUACCAAGAAAAGCACUAUGGCAAUUGGAACAACAAUGGCCACUAUGAUUAAGGAUGAGAUUUGGUCAUUUCCUGCAUAGAUUCAAUAUCAAGGUUUAUGUAACUGUAUAAAUUAAAAAGAGCAACUACAUAAUAUAAGCCCUGCUUCUAACUUCCAAAAUCUCACUACUGAACCUGGAGGUGGGGGAGGAAGAAUCAGAGGCCGUGGCGGUGGUGAAGGUGUGGCUGCUUCAGUUGUAUAAAAUGGAUAAACUUCAUAUCGGACAUUACAACUAGGAUAUAAAACGUUACCACCUUGCUUUCCAUUACAACAACCUGGAAGUUGCGCCACAGCUCCUCGAAGACAUGUUUCACAACUUGUGCUUGAUAGGUCCGGUGUGCACUGCACAAGGCUGUACAACUUCUGAAACCCUGUGAAAUCUGCUUCUUUCGUCGCAUACUUUUUAGCACCGGACGGUGCAUUUGAGGCCAGAUCCACCAAACCAUUGACUGUUUCUCCAAGCAGCUGCAUAAAGCGGGUAGGGUCAGAGAUAUUCCCAAUGUUCCACAUGGAAACUCGAGGAGCUUCGUCCAUUCUGUUCAAGAAGGACUGGUUUGUGUAGCGCAGCAUGCACUCGUCGUACCAUAUUAUCGCAAUCUUUCCCAAGGGACAGAACGUUUGGACACCAUCUUUGGCUAUAGUAGCAACACAUUCUUGGCACAACUCAGGGGUGAGAUCUCCACGGCAUAGGAAAGAACCGUAAACUACUUCUGUGGUGGAGUUUAGCACGCCAGCUCUAGUGUAGUAGAAUCCAAUAUCUCGUGUGGCGUUGGAUGUGAGAGAAGAAAGGAGGAGAUUGAGAUUAGACUGGUAGGAGCUGUUGGGAGUGAAACUGGUUGUGUUUAAACAGAAAUGAGACCGGUAAGUUGGUGCUUGAGCUUCAAUGCAAACGCCAAGGAAGCCAAGAAUGGGGAGCACUACAAAGGCAAUGAACAGAUUAGAAGACAUUCUGAUAACUAUUUCGUUUCUGAUGAUCACUUCCUCUUACAUAUGUACAAAAGAAAGGUAUAGCUGCCCUGCUUGAGAUGUUGCUAUAAAUUGGCAGGAAUUGUGAGGCUAUAUUCAUCUCAGUCUUCAGUCAAUUUUGGAAAAAGACUCCAUUAAGAGUCGUGUUAUACUUGGUACUUUUUCUGCGUUAUUACUUAGAACUUUACUUUUCUCACAAGAUUCAUGCCGCAUAUAAUGGUGUAUUCUGAUGAGAUUCUUGAUCUGAAGUAUAUAUGUGGUUAUAUGUUUACUGUCUUAAUACGAGCAAAUGUUGGUAGCAUCUUCAACAACUUGUACGUAUUUCAUUUCAUCUAUAUUUCAUACAAACAACUAUAGCGACAACAGAAGGUUGUAUCAGUCACAAUGCUAGGCUAAGAAAGCUUAAAGUGGCGAGGAGCACAACUGCACAAGGUUCAUGAACACACUGAAAGAAGGGCAUUCUGAAUUUCUGAUCACUUCACUAUUCCCUUGACCACUUUUUACUAUGUAUUAGAAAGAUUCAAUUAAUGUAGUUGAAUUUAGGCCAUAAGUGAUUAUCAAUAGCUAUAAAUUGACAGGAGUGGUGACUUGUUACUUGGUUAGGUUGCGGUCGUCUCAGUUUAUGGUCAAUAUUUGUCCUUACUUAAGACUAGAACGAAGAAGCUCCUAUCAAGGUUUGAUUUCUGGAAAUCAAGAUAAUGAAAAAUAAGUUGCUGUGGGUGCAGGACAAACUGUGUUCGUGAUUGGUUUACUCUUCCUCUUAUUAAAAGUAUCUUUGAUACAGUAUAUGUUCUGUAUUAAGUACUUUUUAUCAUACCUUUCUCAAAUAUUAAAUACUUUUCUCACCUUCUGAUUACUAUGAUGUGUUGAGAUAUAUAUCCCACAUCGGGAAUAAUAGGAUUUUGCAUGUGGUUUAUAAGAGUUUGGGCCACUCCAUCCAUUGUCAAUUGGUUUUGGAUGUGAACCUCAGACUACUUUAUCAUGGUAUCAGAGCGGGUUACCCACGUCCACGUGUGAAACCCAAAGGCCACACAAACUCUACGUCACCCAAAAUGUUGUCAACGUAUUAGGCUUGAAGAUUCGCCACACGUGCAGAGGCGUGUUGAGAUAUAUAUCCCACAUCGGGAAUAAUGGAACCUUGCCUGUGGUUUAUAAGGGUUUGGGCCACUCCACCCAUUGCCAAUUGGUUUUUGGACGGGGACCCCAUAGGGUUUGGGCCAUUCGCCACACGUGCAGGGGCGUGUUGAGAUAUAUAUCCCACAUCGGGAAUAAUGGAACCUUGCCUGUGGUUUAUAAAGGUUUGUGCCACUCCAUCCAUUGCCAAUUGGUUUUGGACGAGACCCUAUAGGGUUUGGGCCACUCUAUCCAUUACCAAUUGGUUUUGGACGGGACCCCGUACUACUUUAUCAAGAUGAUCACUAUGUGUAAGAAAGAUUCAGCUGCCAUAUACUCUUUCCUCUUUCUAAGAGCAUCUUUGAUACGUGUUAUGUAUUAGGUGAGAUAAAGUUACAGACCCAACAAAGACAACAAAAGAAAAUCAAGUUACAGACCCAACAAAGACAACAAAAGAAACCUAAAAAGGCCCAAAUCAGAAGCAAACCCUACAGAGAGACUAAGGUAGAUCAGAGAGGAACAGCAGCCGCCACCCGCCGUCGCGGCCGUAACUGCCACCACACGCCUGUAAGAGAAAAUUGUUCCGAUGGCCAAAACCGAUCCCGAUCUGAAAUAGCCAAUCCACAUCGAAACAGAGCUCGAGAACAAACCCAAAUCUACAUUGAAACUCACCACCACAUAGCCAGCAGAUGAGACGCUGCCGGCACCGUCGCAGACAACCAAGUAAAGAAAAGGACAGAAGUGUCGAUGCAUGCAUCAAAGACGCCGUUCGAUCUCUGUACACCUCUAUUUCACACUUACAGGGUAUAGAUAUGAGAAAGCAGACAAGAAGUUUUGAUGAGACUCGCAGAGAUUGGAGUUGGAGUUUUCAUAGAGAGAACAUGAGGCUAGAUCUGGAGGAGGGAAGAAGAAAACAUGGAAUUGCAAGAGAAAAGGACAGACUCCGCCGCCGGAAAACCGGAUGGAGAUGUCGGAAAGACGGACAAGGCCGUCAGAGGGACAGACAACGCCUUCAGGCAGGCGGACGGAGCCGCCAAGGGAAGGAGCACGCCGCCGACGCUCAACGAAGCCUCCAGGAAGAGAAAGUCUACCCUCUCUGUUUUCCCUUCUCUCUCUACCCUCUCUGUUUUUUUUUUGGUGACCCUACUUACUGCUAGUUAGCUUUAACGAGGGUACAAUUCAGAAUUUGAUGCUUCAUUAACUGAACAAGCUGAAUUGCUAGAGUGUUGGUUUAAUGGUUGAGAUGUUAAUGAUGGCAUCCUCAUUUCUUCUGUACUAUGUAGGAAAAAUGCUGGCUUUUGAGGCAAUGGCAUAGUUACCGAGUAACUGCUUAGCAUGAGAACUACGGUUUGCAUUGUAGGUCUCUUCUCUGGAUCUUCUUGGACACACAGUAAAGCAAUAUGGAUACAUCUGAUUACUUCAUUUCUUGAAUAAGAACGUCUUAGAUUUCGAUCCAGCAACUCUUCUGGCGUCCCAUCCCUCCAAUGGUUCCAAGCCUAGAAUUUUUUCAUUUCAUGAAUCCAUUAGAAUGUAAGAAACUUGCAAUCUUGAAAAAAUUAUUUACUUGCUCAGAUAUCUGAAUUCAACUUAUACUCACAUAGGUCAAGAGGUAUUCGCCACGUUCGGAUUGAAAGCUAGUGUUCUUCUCGCUGGUUACAAUCUCUAAGAUCAAGACACCAAGACUGUACACAUCAGAUUUCACCGAGAACUGUCCGUGCAUUACGUACUCUGUACUCUGGAGGCAUGUAACCACUUAAAUCGGCAGCAUCAAUAAAGCGAUAUGUUAGUACUUAAUUAGCAGAGACAUAGUAUAAUACCAGUGAUAUCAAUUAUAUAUGAAGACAAUCAAUGCAAAUUCUUGUACUUACUAAGUUCCAACAAUCCUUCUGGUAUUUUCUUGAGUUUGAUCACCUCCAAAUAUUCUUGCCAUGCCAAAAUCUGCUAUUUUGGGGUUCAUUUCCCCAUCUAGCAAUAUGUUGCUUGCUUUGAGAUCGCGAUGUAUGAUUUUAAGUCUAGAAUCUUGAUGGAGAUAGAGAAUCCCUCUAGCAAUCCCACUGAUAAUCUUGUAUCUGCUUGACCAAUCUAGCUUGCCUCGAUUGUCCGAGUCUGUUUCCAUGUAUGUCAGCAAAAAGGUUAUCAGGUUGCAAUAAGUAAAUCAAAAUCAUAGCAUAUAUGAAGAUUAUACUUCUUACAAGUUUACAAGGCAUGCACAUACCGAAUAAGAAGUGGUCAAGGCUUUUGUUCUUCACAAGUUCAUAAACAAGCAUCUUUUCUUCUCCUUCAGAGCAAAACCCCAGCAGCCUCACUAGGUUUCUGUGCUCAAGCUUGGCCACCAAAACAACCUCAUUCUUAAACUCCAUGUGACCUUGCCCGGAGCUUUUAGAUAGCCUCUUCACAGCUAUCUCUUGCCCAUU
rnacentral:lncRNA from 1 species